GGAAGCUUAGCUCAGCUGGGAGAGCAUCUGCCUUACAAGCAGGCGGUCGUAGGUUCGAGCCCUACAGUUUCCACCA
rnacentral:tRNA from 1 species